rnacentral:tRNA from 1 species
GCCGGCUUAGCUCAGCUGGUAGAGCAAUCGCCUUGUAAGCGAUAGGUCAUCCGUUCGAGUCGGAUAGCCGGCACCA